rnacentral:misc_RNA from 1 species
AAAAGGGGAUGGGAUUGAUGAGUAUUUGUGAAGAUAAUGUGAGUACUUCUUGGGGGCAUCCGGAAGUCAAUAGAAAUAUUGAGAUUGCUAGUGCAUCGAGGGAUCAUGAUAUGGAGAUUGGUGACAAGGUGACAUGGAUUGCGUCGUCUUCAACAUCUGGGAAGAACCCUAUGCCAUGUACUGCUGAUCAGCAUACAGGCUCUGUGGAUUCAGCUUCUCCUAGGUUAGAA